UCUUAUGAAUGAGCAAAGAAAGUGGUUUCUUAAGACAGAAUCUACUCCUUAGUGAAGAUGCUAUGAA
rnacentral:pre_miRNA from 1 species